AAGAGGGAAGAAGAGAUGAGGCCUAUGAAGAGGUACACAAAGGUCUCUAAUUCUUAAUAGUAUCAGGUGGUCAGAACGAUGGUGGAGGGGUGCGCUUCAAGGACCAUGUUUGGAUGUGGGACACCAGCAGUGCGGUGGGUGUGCUUGUCCUGCAGCCAAGAAAAUGGCCAACAGUGGACAAAGACAAUGACAGAGGAAGUAGAAAUUGGCAGCUGCAGAGAAUUUCAGUAGCCAAUUGAGGUUCAUAUCUUAUUAUUGCCAGCCAGAGCAGGAUCCAGGCCCCUCCCAUGCAACAUGCUCCCAGAUUGCCUCUGGAACUAUCUCCCCACAAUGGCCAGCCCAGGUGGAUGGAAUCUGAAGAGAGGAAGGGGGUGAAGCAGACGCCAGCCCCCUCACCAGACUCUUUGCAGAUUUGCAGUUUUCCAGGAAAUGUAAGAAGACCCAGAGAAGGGGGAAGAGACAAAGCUAGGGGAAGAAAAUCCUAGGACCACCAUCCCCUCCUACUAUCCACUGCCUCUGCAGCCCUUGCACAACUUACCCACUGUGUGGGUACCAGGCAUUGCUGGCACUAUGAGACACCGUGUAAAGAAAUGCUGUCGUACAUGGUAGUAGAGAGGGAGAUUAACUAGGGUCCUUUGUAGUAAGUUCAAGUUGUCAGUGAUUUCAAGAUUUUUUUUUAACUUACCUCCUUACAUUAUAGAUGGAUAACUCAGACUCAGAAGAACCAAGUGACUUAGCCAAAGUCUCUCAGUUAGCUAGAGGUCGAAUAAUAAUUUAGAUUCCCAAACCAUGUUCUUUUACACUGUAGUUUAGGACAGGUCUAAUAACUUGAAUUUGAGUUCUUCAUCUCUAUGUAUCUCAGCAAAAUGGAGAUGUAUGAUAGAUGAGAUGAGAUGAGAUGAGAUGAGAUGAGAUGAGAUAGAUUAUUCACCUCAAGCAUACAUAAUAGAAAGGCCCCCAUUCAGAAGCUGAUGUGGUGUAGGAGUGCACAGAGGACUGAGAAAUAGUUCCAGUCCCUCCUGGCUAGUUCUAGAUGAUAGAACGGGGGCAAGCCAUACAACCUCUCUAAGCUUCAUUUUCCUCAUCAGCAAAUUGGGUGUGAAGACACACACAACUACCUCAUUAGGGUAUUACACUGCUAAAAUGAAUCAAAGUAUAGAACAAUGUGGAAAAUAUGUCAUGUUUGCAGAAAUUAGGAAAAAGAAGGGGUGAGCAAACUAUUUGGAGAGCCAGAAAGCAAAUAUUUUAGGUUUUUAGGCCAAAAACAGCCUCUAUUACAACUACUCAACCCUGUUAUUGGAGCACAAAAGCAGCAAUGGACAAUAUCUAAAUGAAUGCAGGUGGCUGUGGUUCACUAACACUUUAUUUACAAAAUAGGCAGAGGGGCAAAUUUAGCCUGCGGGCCAUCAGUUGCCAAUCCCUGGGACAGUCUUCCCACUUUGUUAAGUGCAUCCUCACUGAAAAAGCUUCCCUACUCUUCCUCAAUCACAUCCUCUCCCUAACUCAGGGCUUGAUGACUCAGCCCCAGCCUUAUUUUUGGAGCACCAGCUUUUUAAGGCAAAACAUAGCUCACUUGAGGGGUUUAAGACACAUAGUCAUCUGCACCAGGGAGAUAAAAAAGCUAAAAGCACAUUUAUAACCACAGUCACAGCCAUCCUUCUUUAUGAAUAUGUUUAUGUCUGCAUUUAGACACACAGCCACAUACAUAAAGUGAUAUACAAAAAGGAAUGUAGCUGUGGAUGGAAAAAUAGAUCAGUGAAUUUCAUUGAAGCUAUAAUAUUGGACUAGAUAUAAGCAUAAACAACAACACUUGAUAUUUAUAUCUCAGUUCUAACUUUUUAAAGCACAUUCUCAUUUACUUUCACUCAUCACUAUGAGAUUAUGAGGGCGUUUGACAGAUUGGAGAGGAAACAGAUACUUAGCUAGAGUCACAAUCUGACUGGUUGCAGAUCAUGGGGUCAAACACACUCAGAGGCUCUGUCUUGCAAACUCAACAGAAUACUUUUCCUCUCACGCUGAGGCCUGGUUGGGCACAGAGCAUCAAUUUAGGCAUGGUCCUGCUUUACCAGAGUAUCAUGGAGACAAUCUUCUUUGAGGAAGUUACCUCUUCUCCUCUUGCUUAAAAUUGUAUCUGCUAACUCAAAAUGAAACUAUUUUAAAAGCUAUGGGAUGGGUGGGUGAACACAUAAAUCAAUCCUCAAAAGGAACUGGGGAUUGGAUCAGGCUGGAUUGAUUGUUUCUUGGACCAUAGACAGACUAAUCAUCUGUGGGUAAGCUGGAAUUAAGAAUGUUCCUCAGGCUGAGAGCAUGAAGUAAGAUAUGACUGUCAUUUCCAUUGAAUCUAUGGUGGGGGACCCCAACUCUGAAACAGAAGAGGUGGACAUCUAUAGUUGGUUUCAGGGGAAGCAUAGGGAACACAGGGUAGCUACUGGCUUCAUCUUAGAACAAUGAAGAAGCUUCACAGUGGGGUGAAACAACUAAAUCAUGUAGCUGAUUGAUAUGUUUCGGAUGACUACACAGGACACCAACGUGGAGACCACAUUUCUAUGGCUGGACCUGAACUAAGUUGCCUGAAAUUCAAGUGCAGGAUAGUUUUGAACCCAGAAGAAGAGCAAAGGGCCGUGUAUAAAAGUGCCUCCUUAUCCAAGGGAGCCUGAUGUUGAGGGACCAUCUUGAGGAUCACACAUAUAAGAGAAGAAAAGUUCUAAAAAGAAACAAAAAAUUCCCUUUGAACUAUUAACAUAACAUCCAUGUCUAUAAUAAACAAUAUUCUUAUUUUUUUGAAAAUUUUUAAAUGUUUAUUUAUUUUUGAGACAGAGACAGAGCAUGAGCAGGGGAGGGGCAAAGGGAGACACAGAAUCUGAA